rnacentral:rRNA from 1 species
UACAGAGGUCUCAAGCGUUGUUCGGAUUCAUUGGGCGUAAAGGGUGCGUAGGCGGCGCGGUAAGUCGGGUGUGAAAUCUCGGAGCUUAACUCCGAAACUGCAUUCGAUACUGCCGUGCUUGAGGACUGGAGAGGAGACUGGAAUUUACGGUGUAGCGGUGAAAUGCGUAGAUAUCGUAAGGAAGACCAGUGGCGAAGGCGGCGACCUGGUCCAUUACUGACGCUGAGCGCGACAGCGUGGGGAGCAAACAGGG